GACGAACGCUGGCGGCGUGCUUAACACAUGCAAGUCGAACGGAGAGGCCCCUUUGGGGGUACUCGAGUGGCGAACGGGGGCGUAACACGUGAGUAACCUGCCCUUUCCUUCGGGAUAACUUCAGGAAACUGGGGCUAAUACCGGAUAGGAAUCCUUGCUGCAUGGUGGGGGUUGGAAAGCUUCGGCGGCUUUGGAUGGACUCGCGGCUUAUCAGCUUGUUGGUGGGGUAGUGGCUUACCAGGGCUUUGACGGGUAGCCGGCCUGAGGGGGCGACCGGCCACAUUGGGACUGAGAUACGGCCCAGACUCCUACGGGAGGCAGCAGUGGGGAAUAUUGCACAAUGGGCGGAGGCCUGAUGCAGCAACGCCGCGGGCGGGAUGACGGCCUUGGGGUUGAAAACCGCUUUCAGCAGGGGCGAAGCUUGUGGUGACGGUACCUGCAGAAGAAGCACCGGCUAACUACGUG
rnacentral:rRNA from 1 species